rnacentral:rRNA from 1 species
CCUACGAGAGGCAGCAGUGAGGAAUAUUGGUCAAUGGGCGGGAGCCUGAACCAGCCAAGUCGCGUGAGGGAAGACUGUCCUAUGGAUUGUAAACCUCUUUAGUCAGGGAGCCAUACCGGUCACGCGUGCCCGGAGGGAGAGUACCCGCAGACUAAGCAUCGGCUAACUCCGUGCCAGCAGCCGCGUUCAUACAGAGGAUGCGAGCGUUAUCCGGAUUUAUUGGGUUUAAAGGGUGCGUGGGCGGAUUUUUAAGUCAGCGGUAAAAUGUCCGGGCUCAACCCGGGCCGGCCGUUGAUACUGGGGAGCUUGAGUGGGCGAGAAGUAUGCGGAAUGCGUGGUGUAGCGGUGAAAUGCAUAGAUAUCACGCAGAACUCCGAUUGCGAAGGCAGCAUACCGGCGCCCGACUGACGCUGAGGCACGAAAGCGUGGGGAUCGAACAGGAUUAGAUACCCCUGUAGUC